rnacentral:lncRNA from 1 species
CCUUUUAUCUUCUACUAAAACAAGAAAAUUCAAAAAAAAAAGGUCAGUUAGUAAACUGAACUUUUCCAUUCAGUCAGCAUUAGGGUUUUAAACCCUAAACUGAACUUUUUUCCAUUUAGUCAGCACUAGGGUUUUAAACCCUAAACUGAACUUUUCUAUCAAUCAGCAUUAGGGUUUUAAAACCCUAAACUGAACUUUUUUCCAUUCAGCCAGUAUUAGGGUUUUAAACCCUAAACUGAACUUUUUCCAUUCAGUCAGCAUUAGGGUUUUAAACCCUAAACUGAACUUUUUCCUUUAAUCAGCAUUAGGGUUUUAAACCCUAAACUGAACUUUUCCCAUUUAGUCAGCACUAG